rnacentral:lncRNA from 1 species
ACUACUUGGAAUUAAGAAAGAUCGAGCAAACAUAAUAAUCUACAAACAAAAAUUAACUAAUGAAAACUUUGAGUUAAUUGGCUUGAGAGUUGAAACUUCAGAUAAGAAAAUGCAACAAUUAAUAUUCUGAUUUCUGAAACAAGAUCGGCUUAGUAGGCCAGCUAGCUCAUGAAGUAAUCAUCACCAAACAAGUAAAUCAUCCUCUCCUUCCUCCAUGGAUCCUUAUCUUUUGAGUUUGGGGAAGUACUACAAGUUUUAGGCAAUAGCUCUGAUCUACAGAGAGGACAUGUUAGCUGACCUUGAUCAAUCCAGACAUCUAGGCACUCCUUAUGAAAAGCAUGUGAACAAUUGCAUGGCUCUCUCACCACUUGGCCUUCCUCCAUGCUAUCCAUGCACACUAUGCACACAUAUUCACGUGGCAGUCCUGUUCUUCUGCUUCUGCUUGGCUUCGUGUUUUCAUGAGAGUUUCUUGGUAUUGCAGCACCGGGAGUUGGUUCUUGACUGAUUCAGCUAUGCAGUGGACCGGUAAUGGUACCAACCAAGGUGAAGGCCGCCAUGAAGGAGUGGCUGCUUGUGGUGGCGGUGGUGGGAAUGAAUCAUUCUCUACCGGACGAUGUUCAUAAAUAUGUAGCUUGUUAAAUUGUUGACGUUGUUUAAUGAGUAAGCAGUAGUGUAACUUGAUCAUGUUUAUUACUAAGUGUUGAUAAACGUGCUCAUUUCUUAUUGUUGAUGCAUCAUUUAAUUUGUAAAUUUUGUCUACAAAUUUAGUUUCCAUAGUAUUAUCCUAAUAUAAGAGAUUAUCUUCUGAAGUCCUAUGUAAUCUAUUGAUCAAACGUUGCGGUGGCGGAUUGCUCUAUAUUCAGCCACGCCACAUUAACCCCCAAAGCGAUCUUCAUCUAGUUGCAGAGCGAAAUCCUGCAGCCAAUUGGGGCUUAGAAUAACUAGCCCAGCAAUAAGUUCAAUUCUUCUAUAAAAUAAAGGGGACGGGUUGCGUCCGAGACGGGUGAAGUGCGUGCACAAGAGUAGUUCUUGCUACAACUCUCUCUUUUUUAUAGGUUCUACGGCAACUACUUGGAAUUAAGAAAGAUCGAGCAAACAUAAUAAUCUACAAACAAAAAUUAACUAAUGAAAACUUUGAGUUAAUUGGCUUGAGAGUUGAAACUUCAGAUAAGAAAAUGCAACAAUUAAUAUUCUGAUUUCUGAAACAAGAUCGGCUUAGUAGGCCAGCUAGCUCAUGAAGUAAUCAUCACCAAACAAGUAAAUCAUCCUCUCCUUCCUCCAUGGAUCCUUAUCUUUUGAGUUUGGGGAAGUACUACAAGUUUUAGGCAAUAGCUCUGAUCUACAGAGAGGACAUGUUAGCUGACCUUGAUCAAUCCAGACAUCUAGGCACUCCUUAUGAAAAGCAUGUGAACAAUUGCAUGGCUCUCUCACCACUUGGCCUUCCUCCAUGCUAUCCAUGCACACUAUGCACACAUAUUCACGUGGCAGUCCUGUUCUUCUGCUUCUGCUUGGCUUCGUGUUUUCAUGAGAGUUUCUUGGUAUUGCAGCACCGGGAGUUGGUUCUUGACUGAUUCAGCUAUGCAGUGGACCGGUAAUGGUACCAACCAAGGUGAAGGCCGCCAUGAAGGAGUGGCUGCUUGUGGUGGCGGUGGUGGGAAUGAAUCAUUCUCUACCGGACGAUGUUCAUAAAUAUGUAGCUUGUUAAAUUGUUGACGUUGUUUAAUGAGUAAGCAGUAGUGUAACUUGAUCAUGUUGAGUAGAUCGAGAAGAACGAGUAACAAUUUGGAAAGCAGGUUUCUCGGUCGACCCAUCAGAUGAAUGUAAUGUGAGAGAGAGAGAGAGAGAGAGAGAGA